GACGAACGCUGGCGGCGUGCUUAACACAUGCAAGUCGAACGGAAAGGCCCUGCUUUUGUGGGGUGCUCGAGUGGCGAACGGGUGAGUAACACGUGAGUAACCUGCCCUUGACUUUGGGAUAACUUCAGGAAACUGGGGCUAAUACCGGAUAGGAGCUCCUGCUGCAUGGUGGGGGUUGGAAAGUUUCGGCGGUUGGGGCUGGACUCGCGGGUUAUCAGCUUGUUGGUGGGGUAGUGGCUUACCAAGGCUUUGACGGGUAGCCGGCCUGAGAGGGUGACCGGCCACAUUGGGACUGAGAUACGGCACAGACUCCUACGGGAGGCAGCAGUGGGGAAUAUUGCACAAUGGGCGGAAGCCUGAUGCAGCAACGCCGCGUGCGGGAUGACGGCCUUAGUGGUGUAAACCGCUUGCGCCUGUGACGAAGCGUGAGUGACGGUAAUGUGUAAAGAAGCACCGGCUAACUACGUG
rnacentral:rRNA from 1 species